rnacentral:ncRNA from 1 species
CAAAGGUUUGGUCCCGGCCUUAUUCUCAAUUGUAGCCAAACUUACACAUGCAAGUAUCCGCACCCCCGUGAAAAUGCCCCAAGCCCCCCACCCGGGAGCAGGGAGCUGGUAUCAGGCACAAACCUAAUUAGCCCACGACACCUAGCCUAGCCACACCCCCAAGGGUCAUCAGCAGUGAUAAACAUUAAGCAAUAAGUGAAAACUUGACUUAGUUAAGGCUAAGAGGGCUGGUUAAUUUCGUGCCAGCCACCGCGGUUACACGAAGAGCCCAAAUUGAAAAACACCGGCGUAAAGGGUGGUUUAGGCAUACUCUAAACUAGAGCUAAAUUUUCUCAAAGCUGUUAUACGCAUUCGAAAAACAGAAAAUCAUCUACGAAAGUGGCUCUAAUUGCUCCUGACACCACGAAAGCCAUGGCACAAACUGGGAUUAGAUACCCCACUAUGCAUGGUCGUAAACCUGACAGCCCAGUACAUUCGCUGUCCGCCUGGGAACUACGAGCGUAAGCUUAAAACCCAAAGGACUUGACGGUGCUUUACAUCCACCUAGAGGAGCCUGUCCUAGAACCGAUAAUCCCCGUUGAACCUCACCUUUUCUUGCUUAUUCCGCUUAUAUACCGCCGUCUCCAGCCUACCCUGUAAAGGACCUAUAGUAGACAAAAUUGGUGUAACCCUAAACGACAGGUCGAGGUGUAGCGUAUGAAAAGGAAAGAGAUGGGCUACAUUCAGUGAAACACUGAAUACGGAAAAUUAAUUGAAACAUUAACCUGAAGGAGGAUUUAGUAGUAAGCGGGGAACAGAGAGCCCCCCUGAAACCAGCCCUAAAGCGCGUACACACCGCCCGUCACUCUCCCCAAACAAUGAAACCUUAUUUCUAAAAACCAAAAAACGUAGAGGGGAGGCA